rnacentral:rRNA from 1 species
UACAGAGGUUGCAAGCGUUGUUCGGAUUUAUUGGGUGUAAAGGGUGUGUAGGUGGUUGUGUAAGUCAGAUGUGAAAUCCUGGAGCUUAACUCCAGAACUGCAUUUGAUACUGCUCAGCUAGAGUAUGUUAUGGGAAAGGGGAAUUCUCGGUGUAAUGGUGAAAUAUUCAGAUAUCGAGAGGAACACCAGUGGCGAAGGCGCCUUUCUGGGACAAUACUGACACUGAAACACGAAAGCUAGGGGAGCAAACGGG